rnacentral:lncRNA from 1 species
UCACUGCAAUAACAAUUAUCACUGUAUACAUGUUCUCAAGUUGUAUUUUGUUCAUUCAUUGGAAGCAAGUUAAUAAAUAAAUGAAUCGUUUUACUCCAUGUUGCAUAUGGUUUACAUAAAAGAGGAUGUAAAACAUAUCAGGAAUUACUGUUCAGUUGCGCAUUAUUUCCCUUUUUUAUUUUGGUACCUCUAGAUAGAUUAACUUAUGUCAAUUCAGUGUUCUUUUUGCUUCCAUUUCAUUUAUUCAUGGCUCUGUAUUAUUGAAUAAAGGAGCUGUCUUGUAAUAAUCUGUCUUUUUAUUUCCACCUGAAAACAAUGUACAGGUUAUUAGAAUGCCUGUCAAUUUGUUCUCAUUAAAAACCAAUAGUUAGGAAAAGAUUUAAUAUAAAUGAGAGAAAAACGUUGGAAACUUAUUAAAGGCAUGUCAAUAUAGCACACACAAUGUAUUUACCAUGUCGAGAGCUUAUUUGGGUCAAGUAGAAGUUGCACAUCAGCUCAAUAUUUUUAACUUGGUUGAUGGAUUAUUUGUUGUGAACGGCACACUUUAAAAUGGAAAGAUCAGAGGAUUGAAGUACUUAAAUUUUA